CAUGUAGCUUAGUGGUAGAGCGCAAGGCUCUUAUUCAAACCUUGUAGUCAUGGGUUCGAAUCCCAUCUUG
rnacentral:tRNA from 11 species